rnacentral:rRNA from 1 species
UACGGGAGGCAGCAGUAGGGAAUCUUCGGCAAUGGGGGCAACCCUGACCGAGCAACGCCGCGUGAGUGAAGAAGGUUUUCGGAUCGUAAAGCUCUGUUGUAAGAGAAGAACGUGUGUGAGAGUGGAAAGUUCACACAGUGACGGUAACUUACCAGAAAGGGACGGCUAACUACGUGCCAGCAGCCGCGGUAAUACGUAGGUCCCGAGCGUUGUCCGGAUUUAUUGGGCGUAAAGCGAGCGCAGGCGGUUUAAUAAGUCUGAAGUUAAAGGCAGUGGCUUAACCAUUGUUCGCUUUGGAAACUGUUAGACUUGAGUGCAGAAGGGGAGAGUGGAAUUCCAUGUGUAGCGGUGAAAUGCGUAGAUAUAUGGAGGAACACCGGUGGCGAAAGCGGCUCUCUGGUCUGUAACUGACGCUGAGGCUCGAAAGCGUGGGGAGCAAACAGGAUUAGAUACCCUGGUAGUCCACGCCGUAAACGAUGAGUGCUAGGUGUUAGGCCCUUUCCGGGGCUUAGUGCCGCAGCUAACGCAUUAAGCACUCCGCCUGGGGAGUACGACCGCAAGGUUGAAACUCAAAGGAAUUGACGGAAGGGC